rnacentral:lncRNA from 7 species
CAGUCCGAUCUAACACGUGCGCCCGAGAUUAGAACUAGGUCUUCCUGAACCGGCACACGAACACAACCCUUGGAUUGGAGAUCUACGGCAUCGCAACAUCCAUGAUCUGAUCCCGUCCGAUCAGAUCAGACGGCUCAAACCCGUCCCCCACGAACUGUUAUGAUCUAUUUGAUCCGUACCGCGUAGACUCUAUCCAACGUCCAUGUCGCGAUCCACCAAAGAUCUAAUCUCGGUCCUUGGCCGUUGGAUCAACGGUCGAUGCCGCUCUUCUACCCCCGAGUCUAAUGUUUGGUGGCGCGAGCACGGGGCACGGCGUCGCCAUCGCCGGCGACCAGCCCCAACGUGAUUUGUGCACUAACACUUCUAUCCAAA